rnacentral:lncRNA from 10 species
CUCACUUCACUACUACCUCCUUUAGUGGUUGGAAGUCAUUUGAAUUUUUCUUUACUUUUCUAGCAAGAAUUCUUUGUUUUGUGCUAUGACUCACGUGAAUAAUAGCUCCUGGCUUAAUCUGAAGCUCUGUGUUGUCUCUGCCAGCAUGAGACAGGAAGACCUUCUCCACUUUUGCCCAGUAAUUUUCAUUCUCCCCCCACAGGGCUCCACUUAAGCGAGAGUCCACUGGAGGAUGACAUGCUGACAUGGUCACAGCCAGUAGAAUUCUAGAGGGAAAGCAUUUGGAGCCUAUGCCAUUUGAAAAACAAUAGUUCCAUUUGAGAAACAAAAGAAACACAGUUUUUAGCAUUUUGGAAGAAUGAAAAUGUUUGAAGUGGUUCCAAGGGCUCCUGGGCCCAGGGGAGUCUUACAUGAAGACACAUCUCUUAAUAUUGAGCCCUCCUGCAACUCUGGGACAUAGCUCUCCAGUCUGGGAUCAGUUUCUGCUCUGUCUGGCAACAGCCUACCAAGUCUCAUCCACCAGUUUUUCCUGAGGACAAGGAGCCUCUUAAAUCUGAACUAUGGUGAAGUGUUUUAGUUUGAGAUCCCGGGAAAUAG